UCUAACAAUAAAAUUGAUUCGGAAUACCUUGAACUCAUCCUUUUUGAUUGUGUAAGCACUUUCAGUAGAACAAGAUUAUAAGUGAAGAGAUCAUCUGGAUAACACAAGGAGGGCAGCAAAUCAUUUUCUUUAUUACGCUGGCUUGCUUUCAAAGUGUGGCGAUUUUAUUGUUUACCAUGGAGUUGUCUACUUUUCAAAUUUUACUGACCAAGUUUUUUACAGUGACUGAUCCAUCAGCAGUUUCCGAAGCAGUAACUGAUAUCUCAAAAAAAUAUUGCUUUUCUGAUGGUGUCUAGUCACCUCAGAGGAUCAACAGGAUUUGUUCAUUGAAAGACACUUGAAGGUGUAGGCAGUUAAAGCAAAAGGACUUCUUGCAAUGUUUGUUUCAAGGACCAGACACAACAGAAUUUGACAACAUAUGUAUUGGAAGCUCAAAAUCAGAAACUGAAAUCUGCCCAUGUGGAGUGUCACCAGAGAAUGCUGACCAUCUUCUCCAAAACUGCUCUCUUUACCAAGAGGCUGUACAUGACGCUGGCCCCCAAACACCCCAAUAGAAAGAAAACUAUAUGGAGAGUUCCCUGAUUUGGAAACCACUGCGAAAAUAAUCUCAUAUACUGGUCCAGUCAUCUGAAUGCUCCAAUAAAAAAAUGAGAAGGAAGAAGAAAGAAGAUUGGGAGCAACAUGGCUAUUGAAAAGCAGAGACCAUACAAACCUCAUUAGAUGAAGAGUUUUAUUUUGUUGGUAAAGUCCUUGGUUUUGAGCCAGCAGAGAAACAUAGAAAGCUCUAUUUUGACAAUAUAUAAAGAGUGACUUUAGCUCAACUCCUCACCAAGCUUUACAGUCUGUGACAUUUUUUUGGUAAAACUUUUAAUCAGAUUUAUGUGUGUAUACUUAAUUAUGUUAACUACAUUUAUCAAGAAUACUCAAUUCAUAAAAAGAAGCUGCUUUAAAGGAUUAAAGAUAACAUUGACCCUUUUGAGAAAACAAAUUUAAACACAAGAUUUUGAAUUAAUUUUGUAAUUCUUUUAUAUUUUUUUUUCUGAAAGCCACAUAACGACACAAGUAUUUAUUCAAGGUUUUGAAUGUAUGGUAUACUGUUAGGUUUAGUAUUGAGUCAUUCAGUAAAUUGUUUUUGUUUUGUGGUUUUUAUAAAUAUAUAAAUGGAAGUUUAUAUAAUGUGUUAUGCUUAUAUGUAUGAUUUUUUUUACUGAUCUAAAGAAAGAAACUUGAGGAUUUUAAUUUUUAUUCUUUUUGAAACAUGUAAGGAAUAUUAGAACAUUGGUUGGCAACAUUAUUAGUGUAAAAAUGUAUUUCACUUGGUAGUCAAGAAUGCUUAUAACUGAGAUGACAUCACUAAUUGUGGUUAACAAGGGUGCCAUGUUGUCAGCACAAUAACCAGCCGCCUUUACUUUUUCCUAACUCGUAUAAUAAUAAUAAUAAUCUUUAUUAUCCUUAAGGUAAUUUGUCUUACAAUUUGUGCAUUACACCAAACAAAAAACAUUAUAAAGAAACCAAAAUGUACAUUCACACCAGACUCACUCAUAAUUUACAUGUGACAAAGUUUAUACCAGAUUGUUCUUAUUUAAUGAUUUGAUUGCCAGGGGAACAAAAGAGUGUUUGUGUCUGUUUGUCUUUGCUAUCGGUGUCUUGUAUCUCUUUUGUGAUGGUAAAAUCACAAAAUCCUGACACAAAGGGUGAUUCUUUAUUUCGAGGAUCUUGUUAGCUUUUUUAUAGAUGUUUGUCUCAAACAACUGCCCAAAUGGGGUUUGUUUUUUGCCAAUGAUUUUGCCAGCAGCAUUUAGGAUUCUAUGAAAUUACCCAUUAGAGCUGGGUGGACUCGAAGGCACCAUAAAGAUCCCAAAAUUAAAAAUACCCGUCUUCACCAGGAUUUGAACCCAGGGUCCUCCUGUUUGGAAGUCAAGUGCUUUACCACUCAGCCACAUGCCUCCGUUAAAGGCUAGAUUUUGUGACAAUUAUUUUUAGGAGAGAGAAUGAUGUAUGCACAAAGUUGUAGUUUUUUUUUAUUAAAUUUAUUUGUAUUUAACCACUGACUUAUUAAUCUCUGAAUUGUCAAAUUUAAGUUUGUAAUCAGUUAGUGUUGACCUUGGCUUGAUAGGCUAAAAGGAUUAACAAUAAUAAUAAUAAUAAUUAUAGCUUGUAUGUAGUGCUACUUUCAUGCUUACAGCAUGCUCAGAGUGCUGUGUUCCAAUCUUAUGUGUGGACCAAUAGGGGGGGGGAUUUGGGAGAGGGUUUUCCAUGCUGCCUUUGGGUACUCAGUAAACAGAACUCUGCUUGAGUCGUGUGUUGAACCUAGAGUCACCUUGAUAGGUAGCCGAGCCAAGCCAAGUUCAAGCAUACUUAGCCUCUUGACCACGCCUCCACAUUGAAAUUAAAUUGUAAAUGUUAAAUAUUUUUAAAAAUUUAAUACAGAAUUUGAUAUUUAUGAAAUAUUUAAUACAGAAUUUGAUAUUGAUGAAAACUUUAAUACAGAAUUUGAUAUUGAUUUCAAAAAAUAAUACAGAAUUUGAUAUUGAUACCUGAUACCAUUUCAUUUGUGUGUGUGU